rnacentral:lncRNA from 1 species
CGACCUCAGCACAUUCCAAGCAGUCAAGAAGGUUCCCAGGAAGCUUACUUAUCCCCUUAAACCAUCCAGGUUCAAGAAAGAUCAGAUUCUUUACUUGGAGCCAAAAUCCCACAAAAGGCUCCAACGGCUAGUUUUUGAUUUCUUUCUUAGUUUUCGAUUUGUUUCAUUUUCUAUUUGUUUUAGAACGUUAGGACCUUUGUCUCUGAGCCUUAUAUAAGCUCCUAGACGUCCAUUGUAAAGAGCACCCUUAAUCACCAAGUUAAUAAAAAGUUUAUUCAGUUUUUAUCAAAGAUUGUUCUUUGUAUAAAAUAUCGGUCUUUAGGAUUCAAAGAGAGAUUCUUUAUUGUUCUAUUGAUUUCGUGAGUCUAGUUUGUUUGUGCAAAUCAAACAAGCUCAGUACACAGAUUGAGAGAGUCAAUCAAUUCGAUCCAUCCUUCAUCAGAUUGAGAGAUUCAAUCAAAACCUCAUCCGAAAAUCCACUUCAAUCCAUCCCUUGAUCCGGCUUGAGAGAGACAUCAGUCCAGCAAGCAAGAUCCCACCUGCACACCAUCUCCAUCCCCUGUUCUUGUUGAGAGAGACAUCAGUCCAGCAACUUGAAUCCAUCAGCCAUCUCUAUCCUUCUCUUAUUUUGUUUCAUUUUGCAUCAUAUAGUUCUAGAUUUUCCAUUCAAUAUAAAAACCCAUAAAAAGUCAUAUUUGCUUCUGUUCUUAAUUUAUCAUUUAGUUUUCUUUAAGUUCAUCAUUUUGAUCCAUAAAAACUCAUAAAAAUAUUACUCUUUUGUUUCAGGUACAAAACCGGACAUCUCCCUCUCCAUCGCGUCCGUCUAGCCGCUCCAUAGCCGUCCGUCCGUCCUGUCCAGUCCGAGUUCUUGAACCUCAGUCCGUCCAUUUGAGUAGCCUGAAUCCCAGCCUGCAACAUUUUGGUAUCAGAGCUUAAGCUCCUGACUCAGGUGAUAUCUAUCCUUGUAUCUCAUACUUGCUUGCAUUUGUUUUUCCAUUCAUAAACCGAAAAUCAAUAAAAACUGUUUCUUUUUGUUUCAAGUUUUGUUUCUGCAUAUUUUUGUUCUUGCUGUUCAUCAUACUUUAAAACCACGAAAAAGAAAAGAAAAAGUUUUGUUUGAUUCAUUUAAAAAUCUAAAAUCCCAAAAGAAAGUGUUUGCAUUCAUUAGUUUCCAUAAAAGAAAAUCCCAUAAAAAUUUCUGUUUUGAAUUUGAUUCCUUUUCAUUUGCAUUCAUAAAUUCAAAAGCCAAAAGAAAUCAUCCUAGUUAUUGUUUCAUACUAUUUCUACUUGUCCAUUUCGUGAUUGCAUCAGAAAAGAAAAAGAAAAUAUUUUUAAGCUUUAGUUUAUAUCAUUUGCAUAUUUAAUUGUUGCAUUUCAUCCAAAGAAAAUUCAAAAAAAAAAAAAAAUUCAGCAUUAGUUUGCUUUCCAUAUUUUCUUUUCAUUUGUGUUAAUUGUCAUUUAUUAUUGUUUCAUUUCGAGAUUUGCAUUAAGAAAACCAAAAGAAAAAUCAUAUUGCAUAAUUAAUUUCAUUUCGGUUCAACAUUGCAUAUUUUCUCAGUUUAGUUUUAAUUAGCUUGCAUUUUGGUUCUUAUUCUGAUCCGACCAUAAAUUCCCUAUUCUUCACUUGAUCUUUGUGAUUGCUUGCAGGAAGAAAUGGAAGAAUUAGCACAAAGCCAAGCCUUAUUGGCCUCUCAAAAACAGCUAUUGGCUGCUAUGAAGGGUGUACAAGAUCAGAUUUCUCAGCUGGAGAAAAGAAACAAGGCACAAGGCCAACGACCACAGCAAGGAGAAAGAAGAUUUAGAGAUGCACUAGAUGCUGGCUAUGUUGAGCCCAAGCCACCAGAUCCUUCAUGGAUCACCAAACACCAAACUUCUUAUACUCAUGAAUACUCAAAUUAUUCUUAUCAUGAUUAUAACUCUGCUGAUUAUGUUAAUAUUUAUUCUUUUUCAGGAAGAAGUUGGUCAAGUGAGUAUCUAACAUGGGAAAGAACCAUAGAUGAUUGGUUUACAUACUAUGGCGUGCCAAAGAAGGAGAGGCUAGCUCAUGCCAUCGAGCAACUUUCCGGAAAAGCUUACUCAUGGUGGAAAAGAGUAGAUAAGACACAUGGUAAAAGUCCAGAAGAGGUUGUCACCAACUGGGAAGAUCUUAAAGAUGUCAUGAUCAGGAAAUAUGUGUCAUCACGUCCCUCACCAGAAGUCAGAGAAAGAUACCCAAGAAGGUUUUCAAGCCAUGGGUAUAAAGAGGCAAAGAGAAGAGUACCAAAAGAAGGCCAUAAAAGCUUGUUCCAUCAAGACCAGAUUCGGCCAGACAAGAGGUCCACGGUUUUCUAUGAUCAAUACCAACCUUAUGAGGUCCCAAAGUCCAUGGAGAAGAACCUUUUCAGCCCAGACACAUUGGCUAGACACAAAGAAAAAUCAGACAAACCAAUUCUUCAAGGAAAGGCCAAGGUAAGUCCUAUACUUGAUAAAUUUGUUUAUAAAUCAUCUCCUACUGGUAUGAGUCACUUGUAUUUGUCCAAGAAUGUUAAGACAGGUCCUGAGGUCCAGAAAGACACGAACUCAACAUCCUUGUUGGAAUCAAAAGCUGUCCAUGACUUAAGGAAUAAAGAGAUUCCAAGCCCAAAGAAAGAAGAGACAACAAGCCAAUGUAAGUCUUCUAACUCUGGAAAUUUAAAAGAUCAGACAUGUUGUAGAUGUCAUAAAAGAGGACACUUUGCUGUAGUUUGUCCAAGUAAACAAGUAUUGAUAGAGACAUCACUAGAAAAGAAAACAGAUUUAUCUUUAAAGAGUGAUAGUUUUAUUCAAUCUGAUUUAUUAGCUCAAAAUUCUUGUAUGAUGCACUUGUCUUUGUCAAAGGGUGAUGUAACAGGAACUAAGGAGCAUGAAUUCAAGGGAGAGGAUCCACCAGGCGCCACACCUGUGAUGAACCUGAAGAUGGUUCAAGACACAAUGCAGUCCAUAUUGCUUAAAGAAGCAAAACCAAAACAAUACCAAGGUAAGGCUUUAGAAUCUCAAAAGAGAAUGAAAGCUGACUUGCUCUAUCUUGGUGCAGAUUAUACAGUUUCGAGGUCGAAACCUUGUCAAGAGGGAGGGGAUGAUGUGGUCAUCAGAUCAGCAACUGAACCGGAGGUCAACCCAAAGCCCUACUCAACCAGCCAAGGCGCAAACCAGGACAUACGUGCACUAAAAAUGCCAUAUCUUAUAAAACAGGAGGGUUUAAAUCACGAGGCUAAUAUUUAUGGAUUCUACACUCAAGAAGAAGUCCAGGCCAAUUGGAAUUGGGCCAAAAUAUUCACGGAGCAAGAAGUUAUGAAUUUUACAACCCAGAGGUUUCUCAGCCGGUCCAUCUGCGAGUAUCCGACUUUAGAAGGAGAUUUAAGCUCAAGUAAGGAGCGUCCUGAAGCAAAUCCCAUCAUAGGAGUCAAGAGGAGUUUAUCAGAUUUCCAGAAAGCCCAAGAUCAGGAGAAAUGGCCACGGAAUUAUGAAGUUAUGAUCCAAUCUCCAAAACUGGUCAAACCAGUUCUACACUUGCCUCAAUUGGAAGCUAACCGGUUCAAUCAGCUUCAAACCAGACAUUGGCGACCAGGAGAUCAUUUAAACCAAUCAGGAGAUAUUCUAGGAAUCCAGGAGGAGUUCUACAAGUUCAUACCAUGCACCAGCAACCAUUGGAUCAGGAGGAUCCUCAUUUACUCAAACCUGCCUUAUUUGGAGCAAACCGACAUUAAUGUCCAACAGCUCUUUCCUCUUCAGUUUAGGCACGACCUCAGCACAUUCCAAGCAGUCAAGAAGGUUCCCAGGAAGCUUACUUAUCCCCUUAAACCAUCCAGGUUCAAGAAAGAUCAGAUUCUUUACUUGGAGCCAAAAUCCCACAAAAGGCUCCAACGGCUAGUUUUUGAUUUCUUUCUUAGUUUUCGAUUUGUUUCCUUUUCUAUUUGUUUUAGAACGUUAGGACCUUUGUCUCUGAGCCUUAUAUAAGCUCCUAGACGUCCAUUGUAAAGAGCACCCUUAAUCACCAAGU